rnacentral:rRNA from 1 species
UGGGGAAUAUUGGACAAUGGGGGAAACCCUGAUCCAGCAAUGUCGCGUGAGUGAAGAAGGCCUUCGGGUUGUAAAACUCUUUCAGCAGUGAAGAUAAUGACUUUAACUGAAGAAGAAGCUCCGGCUAACUCCGUGCCAGCAGCCGCGGUAAUACGGAGGGGGCUAGCGUUGUUCGGAAUUACUGGGCGUAAAGAGCGCGUAGGCGGAUCAAAAAGUUAGACGUGAAAUCCCUAGGCUCAACUUAGGAACUGCGUUUAAAACUAGUGAUCUUGAAUACGGGAGAGGGUAGUAGAAUUUCCAGUGUAGAGGUGAAAUUCGUAGAUAUUGGAAGGAAUACCAGUGGCGAAGGCGACUACCUGGAACGAUAUUGACGCUGAGGCGCGAAAGCGUGGGUAGCAAACAGG